AGCCUGACCUGAUAGAGGUGGGUUUCCGAUGAAACGAAAAUCUUGACGGCCCCAUUCGAAAUGUCGAUAGAUUUCAAGAUGAGGGGGAAGGACAGUGGUAAAGUGGUGGACGAAGGAGUCUUGGAGUGGUCAGUGGUUUUCUGAGAUGAAGAGGCGAUCACUGAUGAUGAUGAAAUCUGGGGAUUGGUGGAGGUGGACUUGGCAAGCUGCCAACCUGUCAUCCAAUGUGAGGCCCCAGGGGUGCGACCAGUGCACCACUGGGCAACACUCUUCAUGGCGAACUGGGCUUCUAGGGACGUGAAUACAGACACAGCAACAAAAAGUUCCAUGUACUGUGCUGGCACCUUGGAGAAGUAGAAACAGUUGGCUGCUGUCAGGGUUCGUGGGGGCAAGGAGUGGUAGACUUCAAGAUGCUGAUGUUGGGUAUGCCUGCUGAGAUCCGCGGGAUAACGGAAGAGAUGCUCAGCCUUAAUGCACCAUGGACACAGCAAUUCGCAGGACUGGUGCGCUUUGAUGGUGUGGUGCACCACAUCCCGGUGACAAGUAAAUAUUUCGUAGCAGUAACUACAUUUGUGGAUGGUCUUGCCUGCAAUAUACAAAACAUUCAAGGUUUCUAAUAUGGUGUUGCCUGUAGUGUGAUAUAUGAUACCAACAUAACAUUGUUAUAUAUUUAUAUGUAAAUAAUAGACUACCAAAUUUUAAUCCUAAAUUGUUUGUAUUAAACAAAAACAACUGAAUCCAUCGCCAUUAAAUAUGAAUGCUGUUAUGUACAACUAUCCCUGUUUUAAAAGCUUUCCUAGCUUUAUUGUAUCCAUCCAGAGGACUCUUUCCUUAUAAUAAAAAAAAUCUGUUCUUAAACCCUAGAUCUUGUAUUAACAUUGUUUUCUAUCUAUUGUUGAUUCCAGGAAAUAAAACGCAUUGCGGACCUCACGUCUACGCAAUCUCAUUGCAAAAAUGAAAAGCCUCGUACAAAACUUAAGACAAAUCUCCUGUGGUUGAUCAGGCCACUGAAUUGUCGUCCGGACUAUCAGGCUGACCCGAGCAAGCGAGUGGAUUUCUUCAAGCUGCUCACGAAGCUCUUUCACGUAGUCAUCUGUGGCCUCCAAGUCAGUGUUGCCCGAGUCUUGCGGUGGAAGACCGAUGAAUGCCUGAACAGCAAGCUGAUCCGGGAUGGCUAUGGCCUCUGUCCAAUGAGUGAACAAAUCAGAGAUCACUAGAACAUACGUGUUGCCUUUUUCGCUGCGAGGCAGAGGACCUAGAAUGUCAAGAGCGACUCUUUCUAGAGGGGCGAGGACAGGCUGAGAACCAAGUGGAGCCUUCUUUGGCUUAGGUGGUUUUCGGGCGCCACAGCUGUGACAUUGACUGCAAUAUUUUUCCACAUCGGUAGUCAUACCAGGCCAAUAAAAAGUCUGGCGGAGUUUAUCAAGCAUCUUGUCAGUACCCAAAUGUGCUGAGGAAGGAAUGUCGUGCAUGUACCUCAUCAACUCCUGGCGCCUUAUUGCAGGUACAAUGACCUGGCGUGAAGAUUUGUUCUUCUCAAACCAAGAACGCAUUAGACAUCCAUCAGUGAUAGAAAGCCGGUCCCACAUUCGCCAGAGACUUUUGACACACUCACUCUGAGUUGAGAUUUGUUGCCAAGAAGGGCGGAUAGAUGACCUUUCUAGUGACUGUAUUAUGAAGAGCAGCGAAGGAUCUAACUUUUGUUGUGAAUUGAUAUCACCCAAGGACCACUGUUGAACUGGGUAGGAUGUCUGUUUGAAGACAAUCAAUGGAUCAUUCUGACUUCUUGUGAUCAUUCGCACAGUGUCAGUGUUAACCACUGGAGAUGUUUCUUCUCCACAUGGAGUGUCGUCAUUUAUCAAGUUUUCAUGUGUGAAAGUCUCCGUGAUCCCUUGUUGUUUGGCACACCUACUGCAUGGAGCUCGUGACAAGGCAUCUGCAUUCCUAUGUUGUGUCCCGGGCCGAUGUACAACAGUGAAAUCGUAUGUUCCCAAGAUCUGUAACCAUCUGGCGACCUGACCUGUUGGCUGUUUUAGGUUGCGCAUCCAAGACACAGCUGCAUUGUCAGUCCUUACAAGAACAGACUGCCCAUAGAGAAAAUGAUGAAAGGCGUUGAAGGCGUUUAAUACAGCGAGAAGUUCUUUUCGAGUCACACAGUACUGUUGCUCAUGUAUGUUGAGGCUUUUGCUGUGAUAGGCAAUCACAACCUCCUUGUCAUUUUGUAGUUGUGACAAGACAGCACCCGUUGCAAAGUCGCUUGCGUCAGUGUCGAGGACAAACGGGGCGUCAUGGACUGGAUAUCCGAGAAUGGGUGAUGUCGUCAGUGAGGUUUUGAGGUGCUGAAAAGCACGCUCGCAUUCCUCAGUCCAAUGAAAAGCAGUACCCUUGUCAGAUAUUUUAUGCAGGGGCCUUGCAAUUUGUGCAAAACCAGACACAAAUCGACGGUAGUAUGAGCAUAGUCCAAGAAAAGAUUUGACCUCCUUGACAUUUCUUGGAGUUGACCAAUCUCUCACAGCUGAUAUCUUUGCUGGAUCGGUGGCAACACCUUCUUCCGAAACUAAGUGCCCAAGAAAUUUAA